UGAGGAAUAUUGGUCAAUGGGCGGGAGCCUGAACCAGCCAAGCCGCGUGAGGGAGGAAGGCCCUAUGGGUCGUAAACCUCUUUUGUCAGGGAACAAAAGCGAGUAUGUAUACUAGUCUGAGUGUACCUGAAGAAAAAGCAUCGGCUAACUCCGUGCCAGCAGCCGCGGUAAUACGGAGGAUGCGAGCGUUAUCCGGAUUUAUUGGGUUUAAAGGGUGCGUAGGCGGCGAUGCAAGUCAGCGGUAAAAGCCCGGGGCCACCCGCACGAGCGCUGAAUACUGCAGUGCUAGAGAAGGCGAGAGGUACGCGGAAUGCGCAGUGUAGCGGUGAAAUGCUUAGAUAUUGCGCAGAACUCCGAUUGCGAAGGCAGCGUACUGGCGCCUGACUGACGCUGAGGCACGAAAGCGUGGGGAUCGAACAGGAUUAGAUACC
rnacentral:rRNA from 1 species